rnacentral:lncRNA from 1 species
GAAAAAAAAAAGUGGAUUUUCAAUUUUUAUCAGUUUGUAUGGUACCAGUGAAUGACCAUUACGGUUAAAUGCUUGAUGACAAGUCAUUUUACUAUCCGACCAGUUCAGUGCAGAGGAUGAAAUUGCUGACGAUAUGUGUUUUUCCAUCGCAAAGAGGUAUUCGUGUACCCAGACGAUGACAACAAACAUGAAGAUGGAGAAGGUAUCGAUAAGAAAGCUGAGAUCACUUUGAACUGUGUUUGGCCAAGAGAUAAAUCUGUUUGAACUCUGGUUAAGAGUCCUGAGAAGUUGAAGGCAAUGAGAUGACAAGACAAGAUAAGAAGAGAUUUUUCUUAAAGUCAGUGCCAUGUUUAUUGACUACAGACCUGAGGU